rnacentral:sRNA from 1 species
AUGGCUGUCGUCAGCUCGUGUCGUGAGAUGUUGGGUUAAGUCCCGCAACGAGCGCAACCCUCAUCCUUAGUUGCCAUCAGUUCGGCUGGGCACUCUAGGGAAACUGCCGGUGACAAGCCGGAGGAAGGUGGGGAUGACGUCAAGUCCUCAUGGCCCUUACGGGCUGGGCUACACACGUGCUACAAUGGCAAUGACAGAGGGAUGCAAAGGGGCGACCCUGAGCUAAUCUCCAAAAAUUGUCUCAGUUCGGAUUGUUCUCUGCAACUCGAGAGCAUGAAGGCGGAAUCGCUAGUAAUCGUGGAUCAGCAUGCCACGGUGAAUACGUUCCCGGGCCUUGUACACACCGCCCGUCACACCAUGGGAGUUGGCUUUACCCGAAGACUGUGUGCUAACUUUUGAGGCAGCAGGCCACGGUAAGGUCAGCGACUGGGGUGAAGUCGUAACAAGGUAGCCGUAGGGGAACCUGCGGCUGGAUCACCUCCUUUCUAAGGAUGCAGGCGUUGGAAGCAAUUCCAAUUCCCGCUAACCUUAUCAAUACCCACGUCGCCGUCUUCGUAUCCCUUCCAGGUUCGGGUGCUAUCAGCACUGAGCAUCUGCUCAUGCCGAUAGCCGGGCCAGACCUUGAACUGCCUGCUUUGCCGGUUGUGCCAAGGCGCUCAUGGCCAAGGCUUUGGGGCCUGUAGCUCAGUUGGUUAGAGCGCGCGCUUGAUAAGCGUGAGGUCGGAAGUUCAAGUCUUCCCAGGCCCACCAUUUCCUGAUUGUGACAUAACACCUGUUACUGUCGCCCAAUCAGAGGGGGCGUAGCUCAGUUGGGAGAGCGCCGGCUUUGCAAGCCGGAGGUCGUCGGUUCGAUCCCGUCCGCCUCCACCAGUUAUCUGGUGGUCAGGAUGGUCUGAUCGGAUGAUCUUUGGUCUUCCACCCUUCCGAACCUAGGAACAAGAAUUAUCCAGUACUUACGCGGUCCGACGGACAGUGUUUGUGCUGGGUUUGUGCGGCGAGUAACCGUCAGGUGAUCGCCGCUGCUCUUUGUUAUUGUGAAUAUGAUGUUGUCCGGAUUACGGUUCAACCUGCCACCCUGGACGAUCUUUUGAUCGUCUUCAGGCAGGACGAAUACGUAAUCCAAACCGUAAAUCGAUCGAAUGCGGAAACAUCAUGUGCCGGGCUUGUCCCUGUGCAUGACAGUUUCGUAAUCAAGCGUCUAAGAGCAUCUGGUGGAUGCCUUGGCACUGAGAGGCGAUGAAGGACGUAGCACGUUGCGAUAAGCCAUGGGGAGAUGCGAGCAAUCUUUGAUCCGUGGAUUUCCGAAUGGGGAAACCCGG